rnacentral:lncRNA from 1 species
GGCAGACACUAAUAACAUUCACCCUUGGAGUAUAAAGGAAACUACCACCCAAUACACAUUACUCCUAUCCAACCCCAGUAUCUCUACGCUUUUUUGUAAGAAAGAAGCCCCCAUUAUGGUCACCAAAACAACCACAGAACUAACGUAAUUUGCAUUAAGAUUUUGCGUUAGUAAACAACGAUAUUAUCAGGAAUGCAACACCUUAAGACAAGGUAUGAUUCUAAAGUAAUUCGCCAAAGGAAAAUCUACAAAUAAAAAAUACUAACAAAAGGCAAAUCACCAAUACAAUUUCGAAGAACCGAGUCGGUUGAUACGGGGUUUCUUUUUCUUUUUCCCACGCUGCUCUGUUCAGUAGAGUUUGUUGAUGCGGAGUUUCUUUUUCUUUUUCCCAUGCUGAUUUGUUCAGUAGAACCUACAUAUAACAUAUAAAAUUAUAGAUUCAAACACAAACAGAAUAAAACCAAAUAGAAAUGAAUUGUACAAAAGAUGACAAAUGGAAUGAACUUUUUUUUUGAUAAUUAAAAUUUUAUUAAUAGGUCAAAAUGGUUACAACUUAGCUCUGAAUACCAAGACCAGAGCUUAUGUCACGUUAUGUCCCAAGAUUACAUAAUACAAAAUAAGGUCCUAAUCUCCAGUAAUCACAGACUUUAAUUUCAUCAGCAAUUCCUGAUAACAGUAGUUCCUCCGUCUGUCCCACGAUCCCAUCCAGUACAAUAUUGUGCCUUUUAUCUCAUUGCAUACCCUUUGUAAUUAAACUCCGCUGCUGGUGAGAAUUUUUUUAAUUAUUUAUUCUCUUCCAGAAAAUUUUAGAGCAUCUACUGUAAACAAAUCAAAAUAGACUUCAUCUUUGGGUUCAAAAUAGCCUCCAUACUUCCUAGGAUUUGGAACAAUGCAAGUAUAAAUAUGGAUAAUGUCCUCAUUAUACAUCUCGCACAUUGCACAAAUCGGAUUCAGUUGCUAGCCUCUCCUAUUCAAAUUAUCCUUAGUCAGGGUCCUUCCCAUAAUGUUGUCCCCAUGAAAAUUUAAUCUUCAACAGCAAGUCCUUUUUCCAAACCAGAUCAAUUGGGAACACAUUAAUCUCUGCAUUCCCCUGUCUUGCAUCUUUGAACAGCUCCUUAUACAUAUAUAGAACGAACUAUAAAGUGUCCACUCCUACUCCACCUCCAAUUGUCAUAAUCUUCAUUAAAAGAGACACAUCGCAAAGUCGGCAUUAAAUGCUCCAGUUCAGUUUUUUCCUAUUUAAACAAAGUUCUUUGAAACUGAAAGUUCCAUUCCAGCUCUUCACCAUUCAGAAAUUCCAUGACUCCAACUGUUCCUUCCUUCAAGUUGCUAAUACUGUACAGUUUUGGGAAAUUAAUACCAAGAUUUGUGCCUGAUCUGUCCUCGACAAAGUGGGCAAAUUAAGAUCUCAUACCAGUCAGGAGGAAAUGGAGAUCUGUAGGUUUCUUUAAAGAUUGUGCAAGGUUACAUUAAUUGUAUGUGGAUCUAUUAUUCCUAAGCUAACCCUUUAACUGAUGGUACAACUUAGAUCAUUUCCGAUCCCCUAAGCAAUAUGAUGGGAAGAGUAAUUGCCGGAAUUAUUGAAAUAUUAUAAUAGAAUAAUUGUCUAUUCUUGUUGUAUUUCAAUUUCAACCAUAAUCAACGAAAAUAUACCAAAGCAAAAAAAGAAUAAGAAAUUUGAUGGAGAUUUUGUAAUUUAAAAUUAUGUUCCUGCAAUAUUGUGAUUCAAUCAUAAAUUAGUGAACACUUAAUGACAUACAAAUGAAAAAAAAUAUAAGAUAGCAAGAAUCACUCAAUGACCCCACUUUGGUAUAAGGUCCAGUAUGAGGGAGGUGUGGGAUCCGUGGAUGCUGUCCUAAGUGCUACUUGCUACUUGCAAGCUUACAAUGGAAACAUAGUAUGUUGAUUAGGGAUUUGGGGAAGUCUAAAAUUAGAUCACCACUAUAAACAACAAAGAAAUUUACCCGAAUUGUAAUAACUCAUCUGCAUCCGAGAUUUUCC